AGGGAAUCUUCCGCAAUGGACGAAAGUCUGACGGAGCAACGCCGCGUGAGUGAUGAAGGUUUUCGGAUCGUAAAGCUCUGUUGCCAGGGAAGAACGUCCUGUAGAGUAACUGCUACAGGAGUGACGGUACCUGAGAAGAAAGCCCCGGCUAACUACGUGCCAGCAGCCGCGGUAAUACGUAGGGGGCAAGCGUUGUCCGGAAUUAUUGGGCGUAAAGCGCGCGCAGGCGGCUGUUUAAGUCUGGUGUAUAAUCCUGGGGCUCAACUCCGGGUCGCACUGGAAACUGGACGGCUUGAGUGCAGAAGAGGAGAGUGGAAUUCCACGUGUAGCGGUGAAAUGCGUAGAGAUGUGGAGGAACACCAGUGGCGAAGGCGGCCCCCUGGACAAAGACUGACGCUCAGGUGCGAAAGCGUGGGGAGCAAAC
rnacentral:rRNA from 1 species